rnacentral:rRNA from 1 species
UACGUAGGGGGCAAGCGUUAUCCGGAUUUACUGGGUGUAAAGGGAGCGUAGGCGGCGGAGCAAGUCAGAAGUGAAAGCCCGGGGCUCAACCCCGGGACGGCUUUUGAAACUGCCCUGCUCGAUUUCAGGAGAGGUAAGCGGAAUUCCUAGUGUAGCGGUGAAAUGCGUAGAUAUUAGGAGGAACACCAGUGGCGAAGGCGGCUUACUGGACUGACAAUGACGCUGAGGCUCGAAAGCGUGGGGAGCAAACAGG